rnacentral:rRNA from 1 species
UUGCCAGAGACGUCGUCAAUCCAGCGUCUCUCACUCAUGAAUGGAUCUUGCUCAAGCAAACACCGGCGGACGGGUGAGUAAUGCCUAGGAAUCUGCCUGGUAGUGGGGGAUAACGUCCGGAAACGGCCGCUAAUACCGCAUACGUCCUGAGGGAGAAAGUGGGGGAUCUUCGGACCUCACGCUAUCAGAUGAGCCUACGUCGGAUUAGCUAGUUGGUGGGGUAAAGGCCUACCAAGGCGACGAUCCGUAUCUGGUCUGAAAGGAUGAUCAGUCACACUGGACCUGACACAGGGUCAACACUUAUACGGGAGGCAGCCUUGGGGAAUAUUGGACAAUGGGCUAAAGCCUGAUCCAGCCAUGCCGCGUGUGUGAAGAAGGUCUUCGGAUUGUAAAGCAUUUUUAGUUGGGAGGAAGGUCAGUAAGUUAAUACCUUGCUGU